rnacentral:rRNA from 1 species
UACGUGAAAUUGUUGAAAGGGAAGGGCUUGAGAUCAGACUUGGUGAUUCGUCACUGGGCCAGCAUCGGUUUGGGUGGCAGGAUAAGACCAGGGGAAUGUGGCUCUUUACGAGUGUUAUAGCCCCUGGAGAUACUGCCUGCCUAGACCGAGGACUGCGGUAACUAGGAUGCUGGCAUAAUGAUCUUAAGCCGCCCGUCUUGAAACACGG